rnacentral:rRNA from 1 species
UCAAUGAAGAGUUUGAUCCUGGCUCAGGAUNAACGCUAGCUACAGGCUUAACACAUGCAAGUCGAGGGGCAGCAUGAACUUAGCUUGCUAAGUUUGAUGGCGACCGGCGCACGGGUGAGUAACACGUAUCCAACCUGCCGAUGACUCGGGGAUAGCCUUUCGAAAGAAAGAUUAAUACCCGAUGGCAUAGUUCUUCCGNNUGGUAGAACUAUUAAAGAAUUUCGGUCAUCGAUGGGGAUGCGUUCCAUUAGGUUGUUGGCGGGGUAACGGCCCACCAAGCCUNCGAUGGAUNGGGGUUCUGAGAGGAAGGUCCCCCACNUUGGAACUGAGACACGGUCCNAACUCCUACGGGAGGCAGCAGUGAGGAAUNUUGGUCNAUGGACGAGAGUCUGAACCAGCCAAGUNGCGUGAAGGAUGNNUGCCCUNUGGGUUGUNAACUUCUUUUAUACGGGAAUNAAGUGAGGCANNUGUGCCNNUUUGUAUGUACCGUAUGAAUNAGGAUCGGCUAACUCCGUGCCNGCNGCCNCGGUNAUACGGAGGAUCCNAGCGUUAUCCGGAUUUNUUNGGUUUNAAGGGAGCGUAGGCGGACGCUUAAGUCAGUUGUGAAAGUUUGCGGCUCAACCGUAAAAUUGCAGUUGAUACUGGGUGUCUUGAGUACAGUAGAGGCAGGCGGAAUUCGUGGUGUAGCGGUGAAAUGCUUAGAUAUCACGAAGAACUCCGAUUGCGAAGGCAGCUUGCUGGACUGUAACUGACGCUGAUGCUCGAAAGUGUGGGUAUCNAACAGGAUUNGAUACCCUGGUAGUCCACACAGUNAACGAUGAAUACUCGCUGUUUGCGAUNUACAGUAAGCGGCCAAGCGAAAGCGUUNAGUAUUCCACCUGGGGAGUACGCCGGCAACGGUGAAACUCAAAGGAAUUGACGGGGGCCCGCACAAGCGGAGGAACAUGUGGUUUNAUUCGAUGAUACGCGAGGAACCUUACCCGGGCUUNAAUUGCAACUGAAUGAUGUGGAGACAUGUCAGCCGCAAGGCAGUUGUGAAGGUGCUGCNUNGUUGUCGUCAGCUCGUGCCGUGAGGUGUNGGCUNAAGUGCCAUAACGAGCGCNACCCUUAUCGAUAGUUACCAUCAGGUUAUGCUGGGGACUCUGUCGAGACUGCCGUCGUNAGAUGUGAGGAAGGUGGGGAUGACGUCAAAUCAGCACGGCCNUUACGUCCGGGGCUACACACGUGUUACAAUGGGGGGUACAGAAGGCAGCUACACGGCGACGUGAUGCUAAUCCCUAAAGCCUCUCUCAGUUCGGAUUGGAGUCUGCAACCCGACUCCAUGAAGCUGGAUUCGCUAGUAAUCGCGCAUCAGCCACGGCGCGGUGAAUACGUUCCCGGGCCUUGUACNCACCGCCCGUCAAGCCAUGAAAGCCGGGGGUACCUGAAGUGCGUAACCGCAAGGAGCGCCCUAGGGUAAAACUGGUGAU